rnacentral:lncRNA from 13 species
UCUAAAUGUCUUUUCUAUUUGGGAGAAAUCCAUUAGAUGGGAUGCAGGAUCUCACACCCUAGCAUCGAAGUGUAAGAAGACCACGUGAUCCAAGCUUUGUCUAUCAAAUGUUACUGCCUCAGGUUCUGAAGUGAAGGUACUGAGUCAAGGACAAAGAGGCUGAGAUACGACUGCAUUAGGAAGAGUAGUUGAUGUGGAACUAAUGAUGAGAGAGGAUAUACAAUGUUUCUCAACACUUGGAGGACUGGGGAAUGUUGGUCUCAUUUCCAGCCUCCCCAGCCAAUGAAUCCAAGAUGUGCAGAGGAAACAGAAGAAUGCUCUCUCCUCUACUGACAGCCUGAAAGAGUGUGCAGUUAAAUGGAAUGAUGGGGAGCAGUCUGAAAAGCAAGUGAUGCCAGACUAAGGAAGAAUGAUUUUCUUCAGGUAAUGAGAACAACUGAAGUGCUUUCAACAUGACAGUGACAAAAUUAUGUUUGAAUUUUGAAUCUGUUCUCAUAGAUCUAAUGUUAUAAAUCUGAGAUAGAAAAGACAGAAAUAGAAGUAGUUUGGAGAGGGAGAAUGAUAAUUUUAGUUUUAGACAUGGAAUCAUAAACUGUUAGUACAAAGUCUUGGAAGUUCUUUCCUUAACCCACAGCCCUAACUCCACAACUCUUUUUUUUUUUAACACAAGAAACAGAGAAUCCCAGAUAUAACUUCUUUAACAUGCUUAAACCCAUGCAGUGAAUCAGUGGUGUUUUAAGGUGCUGAUGAUAUGUUUCAAUAGAGACACCUACUAGGAGACUGGAAAUGUAAAUAUAGAUUUCAUAAAAUAGUUGCGAGUUAGACCUAUAGAUUUGGGAUUCUUUCUCAUGAAAUUUAAAAGAGUAUUCAGUUGGGGGUGGGUGGACAGGCAAGAAUAAGGAAUAAGAAUGAAAGGUCAAUUAUUCAAUGAAAGACAGCCAUAAGAAAGCAUGCUUCUAAUCAUUUGGAAGCUACUUUGGCAUAAAGGCCCCGAGGCUAGAUUGGAGAGCCCAAUUUUGAAUUCAAAUGCUUGAUUUUUCUUGUAGUUUUUUGCCUGGGAGUGUUAAGACAAGUAAGUUUUAAUUUAGAGCUUUUCUAAGAGCAUUACAUGUAUUUUCUCCUUUAUUUUUACAAAGUCCAUGAGGCAGGUGCUUUUCUGAUUCCCUUUUUAGAGAUGAGUAAACAGAGGGAGAGAAAGUAUACAGAGCUUACCC